GAUGAACGCUGGCGGCAUGCCUAAUACAUGCAAGUCGAGCGAACCGACGAGGAGCUUGCUCCUCUGACGUUAUCGGCGGACGGGAGAGUCACACGUGGUUAACCUACCUAUACGACUGGGAUAACUUCGGGAAACCGGAGCUAAUACCGGAUAAUAUAUUGAACUGCAUGGUUCCCUAGUGACAGACGGUUUUGCUGUCACUUAUAGCUGGAUCCGCGCCGCAUUAGCUGGUUGGUAAGGUAACGGGUUACCCAGGCAAGGAUGCGUAGCCGACCUGAGAGGGUCGUCGCCCAGCCUGUAACUGAGACAGAUUCCAGACUCCUACAGGGGGACGCAGUAGGGAAUCUUCCGGGAUGGGCGAAAGCCUGAUAGUGCAACGCGGCGUGAGGCAUGAAGCUCUUCUGAUGGGAGAGUUCUGUUAGUAUUAAAGAACAAAUGUGUAAUUAACUAUGCACGUCUUGACGGUACCGAAACAGAAAGCCCCGGCUAACUACGUG
rnacentral:rRNA from 1 species